UACGUAGGGUGCGAGCGUUAAUCGGAAUUACUGGGCGUAAAGCGUGCGCAGGCGGUGGCUCAAGCCAGGCGUGAAAUCCCCGGGCUUAACCUGGGAAUGGCGUUUGGGACUGGGUCGCUAGAGUGUGGCAGAGGGAGGUGGAAUUCCGACGUGUAGCAGUGAAAUGCGUAGAGAUGUGGAGGAACACCGAUGGCGAAGGCAGCCUCCUGGGCCAGCACCGACGUUCAGGCACGGAAAGCGUGGGG
rnacentral:rRNA from 1 species